rnacentral:snoRNA from 1 species
GUUCUGCCUUUGAGCUCCCACUGUACACCUUCACCUGUUGCCAAGGGUCAGGCUGCAGAACCAGAGCAUGUGCUUGCACAUAACUGGGGCUGCCCCCACCCCCGUAGGUGGCCUUUUUAAUUGUGAGCCAGGG